rnacentral:rRNA from 1 species
AGCGAACGCUGGCGGCGUGCCUAACACAUGCAAGUCGAACGUGAAAUGGGGCAACCCAAAGUAAAGUGGCGUACGGGUGAGUAACACGUAGGUAAUCUACCCAAGUGUCUGGAAUAACCGGCCGAAAGGCUGGCUAAUACUGGAUAGAGCGACGGAAUCCGUAAAUGGGUUUUUCGGGAAAGGGAGCACUUCGGUGCCGUCGCAUUUGGAUGAGCCUGCGUCUCAUUAGCUAGUUGGUGGGGUAAUGGCCCACCAAGGCAUUGAGGAGUAGCUGGUCUGAGAGGAUGAUCAGCCACACUGGAACAGAAACACGGUCCAGACUCCUACGGGAGGCAGCAGUGGGGAAUUUUGGACAAUGGGCGCAAGCCUGAUCCAGCAAUGCCGCGUGCAGGAAGAAGGCCUUCGGGUUGUAAACUGCUUUUGUACGGAGCGAAAAGGCUCCCUCUAAUACAGGGGGCUCAUGACGGUACCGUAAGAAUAAGCACCGGCUAACUACGUGCCAGCAGCCGCGGUAA